GAUGAACGCUGGCGGCGUGCUUAACACAUGCAAGUCGAACGGGAUCCCAGGGGUGCUUGCACUUUUUGGUGAGAGUGGCGAACGGGUGAGUAACACGUGAGUAACCUGUCCUUUUCUUUGGGAUAAGCAUUCGAAAGGGUGUUUAAUACCUUAUGUUCUGUCUGCCUCGCAUGGGGUGGGUGGGAAAGGCUUUGGCCGGAUUUGGGUGGGCUCGCGGUCUAUCAGCUUGUUGGUGGGGUGAUGGCUUACCAAGGCUUUGACGGGUAGCCGGCCUGAGAGGGUGGUCGGUCACAUUGGGACUGAGAUACGGCCCAGACUCCUGCGGGAGGCAGCAGUGGGGGAUAUUGCACAAUGGGCGAAAGCCUGAUGCAGCGACGCCGCGUGGGGGAUGAAGGCCUGCGGGUUGUAAACUUCUUUUGCUCUGAACAAGGCGUGCCAGUGGGUGUGUUGAGUGUAGGGGUUGAUUAGCGCCGGCUAACUACGUG
rnacentral:rRNA from 1 species